GAAAGUUUAGUUAAACUAUAACAUUAGCUUGUCAAGCUAAAAUUAUUUAAAUAAAUAACUUUCC
rnacentral:tRNA from 1 species